rnacentral:tRNA from 1 species
GCCUGGGUGGCUCAGCGGUUGAGCGUCUGACUUCAGCUCAGGUUGUGAUCCCAGGGUCCCUGGGAUUGAGUCCCACAUCGGGCU